rnacentral:rRNA from 1 species
UGCAGUCGACGGUGACGACCAGCUUGCUGGUCUGAUCAGUGGCGAACGGGUGAGUAACACGUGAGCAACCUGCCCUUCACUCUGGGAUAACCACGGGAAACGGUGGCUAAUACCGGAUACGAGACGUACCUGCAUGGGUGGCGUCUGGAAAGAUUUAUCGGUGAAGGAUGGGCUCGCGGCCUAUCAGCUUGUUGGUGGGGUAAUGGCCUACCAAGGCGACGACGGGUAGCCGGCCUGAGAGGGCGACCGGCCACACUGGGACUGAGACACGGCCCAGACUCCUACGGGAGGCAGCAGUGGGGAAUAUUGCACAAUGGGCGCAAGCCUGAUGCAGCGACGCCGCGUGAGGGAUGACGGCCUUCGGGUUGUAAACCUCUUUCAGCAGGGAAGAAGCGAAAGUGACGGUACCUGCAGAAGAAGCGCCGGCUAACUACGUGCCAGCAGCCGCGGUAAUACGUAGGGCGCAAGCGUUGUCCGGAAUUAUUGGGCGUAAAGAGCUCGUAGGCGGUUUGUCGCGUCUGCUGUGAAAACCUGAGGCUCAACCUCGGGCUUGCAGUGGGUACGGGCAGACUAGAGUGCGGUAGGGGUGACUGGAAUUCCUGGUGUAGCGGUGGAAUGCGCAGAUAUCAGGAGGAACACCGAUGGCGAAGGCAGGUCACUGGGCCGCAACUGACGCUGAGGAGCGAAAGCAUGGGGAGCGAACAGGAUUAGAUACCCUGGUAGUCCAUGCCGUAAACGUUGGGCACUAGGUGUGGGGCUCAUUCCACGAGUUCCGUGCCGCAGCAAACGCAUUAAGUGCCCCGCCUGGGGAGUACGGCCGCAAGGCUAAAACUCAAAGAAAUUGACGGGGGCCCGCACAAGCGGCGGAGCAUGCGGAUUAAUUCGAUGCAACGCGAAGAACCUUACCAAGGCUUGACAUACACCGGAAACUUCCAGAGAUGGUUGCCCCGCAAGGUCGGUGUACAGGUGGUGCAUGGUUGUCGUCAGCUC